UGCAAAGAAGAGAUGCAGAACCGCAUUGCAGAUUGUGUUAUGUACACCCAGCAGCACCAAAAUGUGCCUGGGAAUCAUGGGGGUCAGAAAUUUACCUCUGAGGCAGGUAUGGCUGAAGCUUUAUGAAAAGAAAUGGGGCCUGUGCCAGGCCUUAGAUGUGGGAUAAGGACGACAUGUCAGGAAGCAGAAACAGUAUCAGCAAAGGUGCUGCUGUGAGGCAUGUGGGCCGUGUUUGGGGAACAGCCAGGGGCUUUUUUUGUCAGGUUUACAGCAUCUGUGGGAGGCUGCGUUGGUAAAUAAGCCCAGAGAAGUAGGCUGGGACUACUUACAGUAAAAGUAUGCAUGGCUUUGAAGGCCAGCUGAGUGGUAUAAAUAGAAACUAUAAAUAGUAUCACUUUUAUUGAGGACAGCUUUUGCUGCCAAAGGAGUUUUUAAACUUUUUUGGAUUGUGUAAUUGGUGGUUAAAGAAUUAUUGACCGAAAUGUAUCCGAUCUUUGAGUGUUUUAGCAUGCUAGAUUAUUGGAGGUGAAAUGGCUAAGUCAAAGGUGAUGAGUGUUUUUGAGACUCUUGAUGUUAAUUGCAAAAUUAACCUCUAAAAAGGCAGUGCCAGCUUAGACCAUGAAUGAGAGCUCUUGUUUUAUCUCGUCCUUGCUGAGCUGGGUAUUACAACACUGAAACCUGCAGUGCACUCUCUCUCUCUCUUUCUCUCUCUCUCUCUCUCCUCCCUUCCUCCCUUUCUUUUACUUCUCUUAGGAUAGGCUCGUCUGUACUUUUUUGAUAGAGGUAACCAUUUGCCACACCAUUUUCUGAAGGGCCUGCUCUCUUCCCCAUUCAUUUGUGACGGCACAUUUAUCCCACCCUAAGCUUUGAUAACAUGUUAGGAUCUUUCUGUCCUGCCCUCUCAAAGAGGUUAAAUAUUUUUUUAUAAUGACUUAUAAUUGACUGAAGUUGUAAUGGUUUUCUCAUGUCAAAUAUAAAAACAGGCUGGGCGCGGUGGCUCACGCCUGUAAUCCCAGCACUUGGGAGGCCAAGGCAGGUGGAACGCUUGAGUCCAGGAGUUCCAGACCAGCCUGGACAACAUGGGGCAACCCUAUCUCUACAAAAAAAAAAAAACAACAAAAAAACCUCAAAAAUUAUCCAGGCACGAUGUUGCAUGCAUGUAGUCCCAGUUACUCGGGAGGCUGAGGUAGGAGGAUGGCUUGAGCCUGGGAGGUGAAGAUUGCAGUGAGCUGAGAUCACACCACUGCACUUCAGUCUAGGCAACAGAAUGAGACUCAAUCUAAAAAAAAAAUUGUACACUUUAUUGACUCAUUAAUUACAUAAAUGAGUCAAUAGGUAUUUUUGAUUACAAAUUGUGUAGCCACUACUUUAAAGCUUGCUUUAUUUUAUUUUCUUGAUUUUGUUGACUCAUUUAUGUCUUAGUCUUUUUUAUUAUAAAUUAUUUAUUGUUUAGUCACUACCUUAGAGCCUGCUUUAUUUUUUUCUGAAUUUUAUUGACUCAUUUAUGUCUUAGCCCUUUUUAUUACAAAUUAUUUAUUGUUUAGUCACUAUUUCAGAGUCUGUUUUAUUUUUUCUUAGUUUUAUUUAAGGAUGAUAUUGAUGAUGAAAUGUCUUACAAUGAUCAUUUAGAGGUUUAUUUUGAACAACUGGGAAUUCCAGGAAUGAUGGAAUAAAACAUAUGAAGUAGAAGGACUGGAACCUCCAGAAAAAGUACUUUAAGUUACCUGCAGGUGAUCCUAGUCAGGUAUGAAUUGAUAAGAAAUGCCUGCACCUUCCCUCCUUCCUGUCUUUCCCUUGCCUAUAGAAAAUUAAAAGGCAAAACAAUGGACAUUCAGAUGAACCAGUGGCUAGCAUUUGCCACCUUUUGCAGUUUCUUUCUCUUUCUGUAAGUACCUUCUUCUCUGAAUCAUUUGAAAGUAAGUUGCAGAGAGAAUGAUGUUUUACCCCGCUUCAGCAUUUAUCUCUUGCAAAUAAUGACAUAUUUCUACAUAAUUACAGUUCUACCAUCUAACUAUAAUACAGUAAUUUAAUGUACAGCCCAUAUUCAGAUUUACCUGUCUCCAAAAUGUUAUUUUUGUUUUAGAUCCACAGUUUAAUAAAAGAUUAACCUUGCUUUUAGUUGUCACGUCUCUCUAUUCUUUUACUUUGGAGUAGUUCUUUCAAUACAUGAAACAUUUUGAAAAAUCUAGGCGCUUUGUUUUACAGAGUGACCCAUAAUCUAGAUGUAUCUGGUUGCUUUUUUCUUCUCCUGACUAGAAUAGAUUGAGCAUUUUGGCUAGCGUACAGAUUAAAUAGUGUUCUCCUGAGUCGAUCCAGAUUAAACAGUGAUAAUGCCUAAUCCAGAUUAGGCAGUGUUGUGUACUUACCGCCUCACACCAGGAGAUGUUUGAGUCUGUUUGUCCCACAACUGAUGAGGCUAUGUUUAAUAAUUUUGGUUAAGGUGGUGUCAACUGGACAUCUCCUUGUGAAGGGAGCUUUUCCCUUUUGUUAUUAGUCAUCUGUGGGAUGAGACAUCAAAGCACUGUGAACAUCUUAUUCCCCGGCAACCUUCACGAGCUGGUUUCAGCGUCAUUGCUGAAGCCUCUUGGAAACAUUGAUUACACCCGUGGUUCCAAUGGUGAUUUUUCUCAUUCCUUUUACAUUGAUUACCUGCCUCCUUCAGUGAGGUAGAUGUUGUCUGCUCCCCAUGUUUUCCCCUUCAAAAUGUUUAAUUUUAAUUUAAAUGAUUAAUACAGCUAAGUUAGUCUUUCAACAGGCAAAUGAAAACAGUAGCCUGAAGUGUCAGUUUCGACCAGAAAAUAACAGCUCUGAUUUCUCAUGGUUCACAUUCUUCUGAAACGACUCAGGAAGAGGCUGAGGAAGGCCGUGUUGUUUGUCUGCCUGGGACUAGAGUGGUGGCAUGUGACUACCUGGGAGGCAGAGGCUGGAGGAUCAUUUGGGUCUAGGAGGUGGAGGCUGCAGUGAACCAUGAUUGUGCCACUGCUCUCCAGCCUGGGUGACAAGAGCAAGACCCUGUCUCACAAAAGAAGGAAGAGAUCAUCUGUUCGUCUUCUUGAUUUUUGUCGAAAUGUGAUAUGUGAUAGUUGAUAAGCUUUAUGCAUAUGUCAAUCUGUGGCCAUUUAAUUUUGAACUAAGGACUUGUUCUAUUAUAGCACAGUAAUCACAAAUAGUGACUAUUUGUCAUUAAAAACAAUAUAUUUAGUUUUAA